ACUUCAUCAUCGUGAUCAAAACAAGUUUGUUUUCUGGUAUACUCACUUUGGGGUUCGCACACAAACAUCGUACGAGGACAAUAUAAAGAAAAUUGUUGAUUUUAGUACUGUUGAAGGUUUUUGGGUUUGCUACUGCCACUUGGCUCGUCCAUCAGCAUUGCUCAGCCCAACUUAUUUGCAUCUUUUCAAGGAGGGUAUUCGUCCUUUAUGGGAGGAUGCUGUUAACUCCCAUGGUGGGAAGUGGAUAAUUCGUUUUAAAAAGGCUGUCUCAGGACAUUAUUGGGAGGACCUGGUAAGCUAGCUGCCCUGUGAUUGUUGUUU